CCUACGGGUGGCAGCAGUGGGGAAUAUUGGACAAUGGGCGAAAGCCUGAUCCAGCCAUGCCGCGUGUGUGAAGAAGGCCUUCGGGUUGUAAAGCACUUUCAGUGGGGAAGAAAGCCUUGGGGCUAAUACCCUCGAGGAAGGACAUCACCCACAGAAGAAGCACCGGCUAACUCCGUGCCAGCAGCCGCGGUAAUACGGAGGGUGCGAGCGUUAAUCGGAAUUACUGGGCGUAAAGCGCGCGUAGGCGGUCUGAUAAGCCGGUUGUGAAAGCCCCGGGCUCAACCUGGGAACGGCAUCCGGAACUGUCAGGCUAGAGUGCAGGAGAGGAAGGUAGAAUUCCCGGUGUAGCGGUGAAAUGCGUAGAGAUCGGGAGGAAUACCAGUGGCGAAGGCGGCCUUCUGGACUGACACUGACGCUGAGGUGCGAAAGCGUGGGUAGCAAACAGGAUUAGAUACCCCUGAGC
rnacentral:rRNA from 1 species